GUCGUCAGCUCGUGUCGUGAGAUGUUGGGUUAAGUCCCGUAACGAGCGCAACCCUUGUCCUUAGUUACCAGCACGUUAUGGUGGGCACUCUAAGGAGACUGCCGGUGACAAACCGGAGGAAGUGGGGAUGACGUCAAGUCAUCAUGGCCCUUACGGCCUGGGCUACACACGUGCUACAAUGGUCGGUACAAAGGGUUGCCAAGCCGCGAGGUGGAGCUAAUCCCAUAAAACCGAUCGUAGUCCGGAUCGCAGUCUGCAACUCGACUGCGUGAAGUCGGAAUCGCUAGUAAUCGUGAAUCAGAAUGUCACGGUGAAUACGUUCCCGGGCCUU
rnacentral:rRNA from 1 species